GUAUAGGUUUUAUUAUUAUUAAUAAAUUAUUAUUAAAUAAUUGUAUUUAAAUAUACAGCCACAGAAGGUGCCAGCCCUGUUAUUUAAUAAUAUUUAUUAAAUUUAUAAAACUUUAGAGUCGUGUUGCUUGGAAGUGCAGCACAAAGUUGGUGAUAAACAUCAUCUAAGGCUAAAUAUUCCUAUGAAUCCGAUAGCGAACAAGUACUGUGAAGGAAAAUUGCAAAGUACUCCGGAGAGAGAGUUAAAGAGGACGUGAAACCGAUACGAUGGAAGCAUACAGAGCCAGUUGCACUAUUAUUAAUAUUUUUUAUUAAUAAUUUUAAGCAUGGGUAUAUUGAUUAUUAAUUAGUUAUUUAUUAAAGAGUGAUAAAAUUUUUUAAAUUUUGUUAACUUUAAUAAAAUAAUUAUAUUUAUAAUUAAUAUUUAUUAUUAUUAAUGUAUUAAUAAUAUUUUAAUUAUUAAUAUAAUAUAAGACACAUGUGUUAAAUAUUAUUUAUUGGUAAUUAUUAUAUUAUUAUAAAUUAAUAA
rnacentral:rRNA from 1 species